GACGUAGGGCGCGAGCGUUGUCCGGAUUUAUUGGGCGUAAAGAGCUUGUAGGCGGCUUGUCGCGUCAACUGUGAAAACCCGUGGCUCAACCAUGUGGUCUGCAGUCGAUACGGGCAGGCUAGAAUUCGGUAGGGGAGACUGGAAUUCCUGGUGUAGCGGUGAAAUGCGCAGAUAUCAGGAGGAACACCAGUAGCGAAGGCGGCACUCUGGGCCGGUACUGACGCUGAGGAGCGAAAGCGUGGGGAGCGGACAGG
rnacentral:rRNA from 1 species